rnacentral:lncRNA from 1 species
AGACUCCCUCCCUAGCGUAAAGGCUGAAAAUCUGGGUCACAGCUGAGGAAGACCUCAGACAUGGAGUCCAGGAUGUGGCCUGCGCUGCUGCUGUCCCACCUCCUCCCUCUCUGGCCACUGCUGUUGCUGCCCCUCCCACCGCCUGCUCAGGGCUCUUCAUCCUCCCCUCGAACCCCACCAGCCCCAGCCCGCCCCCCGUGUGCCAGGGGAGGCCCCUCGGCCCCACGUCAUGUGUGCGUGUGGGAGCGAGCACCUCCACCAAGCCGAUCUCCUCGGGUCCCAAGAUCACG